rnacentral:lncRNA from 1 species
UGUCUCUGUCUCUUUUUCUGAUUUUGUCCCUCAGUCGAAUUAUUUCUUCUGAGGAGGCAAGGACUGAAGUUGCUACAGACCCCUAAGGACAGGCCAUCGGUAACACUGGGUAAAUCAGAUCUCUUCCACGGGUCUAUCAAUGAGAAGAAAGUGCCAACUGAAAACUUUUAGAAAAUACCCAGUUUACUCAAGGAAAAUAACAUGCAUUGAAGGUGAUUGCUCAAUAGAGAGAAGUUGAAACAGCAGACUAAUUGCCUGUUUGUGACACCCAUGUAAUCAACUUGUGUAAAUAGACAGCAUAUCUCUAGACCUGUGGUUAUCAAAAGAGCGUGUGUUAGAAUCACCGGACAGACUUAUGAACAAACGAAAUGCUGGGCCCCAUCUCCAGUGUUCUGACUCUGUAGGUCUGGAGUGGGGCUGAAGAUUUGCCUUUCCAACGAGUUCCAAGUGAUGCUGAGGCUGCUUCUCUGGGGACUAUAUUUUGAGAACUACUGAACUACCAUUCUAGGAGGGUGGGAAAAUGGGUUUUCAUCUUGGAGCACAAAUUAUUUGCAUGAAUUUAAGCAAGUCAUGAAUAUUCUAUUCUUCAGUUUCUUCAUCUGAUAAAUAAGAUCAAUAAUACCAGUUCAGCCUACUUUGUUGAGUUCU